rnacentral:sRNA from 1 species
GGAUCUAGUGGUAAUAUAUCGAUGAA